rnacentral:misc_RNA from 1 species
GUAUAAGGUUUAUAGGCACUUAGGCCCAAUGAUACAUUCUGUUACAUACUACGGGUAUAUGAAAAAAAACGUAGGCUUGGAAAUGCAAAGAAAGCUGACCCAAAGAGUGCACAGCAUUCUUCCCGACCGAGUUGCCUCGGAAAGUCUAUCCAAGUCUACAAGAUGUGCACAGGUGGAGAGAUGAGAAUGGCGGGUGUGCACAUGCCCCCCCGAAGAGGACCAGCAACAACCACACCAAGUUCAUUCAAUAAUGAUCCUUCCGCAGGUUCACCUACGGAAA